rnacentral:rRNA from 1 species
AAGACCCAUCGACCAUCUAGUAGCUGGUCCCCUCCGAAGUUCCCUCAGGAUAGCUUGCGCUCGGACGAGACGAGUCUCAUCCGGUAGAGCGAAUGAUUAGAGGCAUUGGGGCGAAACGACCUCAACCUAUUCUCAAACUCCAAAUAGAUGAGACCCCGCUUUGCUCGACUCAGUGCAGCAACGCGCAUGUGAAACCAUGAAAGGCGUGGUUUCUUAAGACAGCAGGACGGGGCCAUGGAAGUGGAAUCCGCUAAGAAGUGUGUAACAACUCACCUGCCGAAGCAACUAGCCCUGAGAAGGGAUGCGCUGUACUUGGUACCUAUACUCGACCGUGACGGCAAUAUCGAGCUUCGGGGUUUCG